GUGGUUCUCGACUCAUGCAUUAGUUAACUGUGUCGGCAGAGCCAACCUCCGUUAGGCUAUUGAACCCAUCAUUGAAGCUGGAUGCAAACUCAUGCAUUAACUGUGUCGGCAGGGCCAACCCAAUCUCGAUCCCACCUGCCCCAUCCUUGCUCCCUGCAAGCGUUAUAGUCCCUGGUGUCUUCAGGAUUGAGAGCAACUUAACG
rnacentral:misc_RNA from 1 species